GCCCCGGUAGCUCAGCGGAUAGAGCAGCCGCCUCCUAAGCGGCAGGUCGCAGGUUCGACUCCUGCCCGGGGCACCA
rnacentral:tRNA from 1 species